ensembl:lncRNA
CCCUGUAUACUUGAGGCCUUCUAAAGAUUUCUCUGGAGUCUUAAGGACUACUCCAAAGAUCAGAGAUGUGUAUCACGGUAGUCCAUGUGAGUUUUUCCAUUAUCCUGUUUUGGAGUGUGAUUCUUGACUGGCUUAAGUUUACCCACGAGAUAUAGGCAUGGAUUCAGUGAAGCUGUGAGACCUGAUUACACGUUCACCUGGGCAAGAGAGAGGAGCAGAGGCUGUCUGUCCAGAGUCCUUCAGCAGGGCAGCUGAGCCAAGCAACUGGCACUCAUUUACACACAUAGCGUGAUUAUCUCUCCCAAGGAUGAACAGUUAAGCAAAUGUUGAAUCAGUUUCCAAAUUACUGUUCUUUUUUCUAUUUCUAAAGCACAGCAUUUUUCAACAAUGAUACCGUAGUGAAAUGUCAGUCUUGUCCUGAGAUAUUUUCUUAAUAAAAUAGGAACAGAGAUAAAAGACACAAGAGUAUUAUAGAGAAAAGAAAGAGAGAAGUGGCUGAGGGGUUACACUGUUAUACAAGUGACAAGAAAUCAUAUCAAAACUCUUUAAUUAGCCCUUUUUCCCUUUCACAGCCCAAAAUAAUUAUUUGAUAUUAACUAUUUUCAUUGUUUCCUGCUAGAUUGAGUGCACUUAUGAAAUAUAUUUACAGUAAAACAAGCUCUGAAGAAGCAAUGGCUUUAGCAUUACUAGGAGAAUACAUUCUGUAUCCAUGAGAACUUGAAAUUUGCCAGUAUUUCACUUUCACUUAAAAAAAAAAAAAAAGACACUUUAGCUGUUUAUAAGCUAUCAUAUUUCUAUGUGUUUGGAACAAAUAUAAGGGUUUCUUAUUUGUUUACUUCCAAAAUUUACUACGCAUGUUGCACACUACAAAAAAGAAAUCAUACAAAAAAGAAAGAAAUAUUUUAAUGCUGUUUAAGUGGAAGGCUUUGAAAUAAAUAUAACAGCUUGUAUGUUAUUUUCUUCAGGAAAAAAAUCAAAAUGGUCAACUUUAUGUCGAUUGUGAACUAAUCCAGGUCUUGAAACCAAAAUAAUUAAAUGUGGCGUUCCUAUCCUUC